rnacentral:rRNA from 1 species
UCAGAAAUCCGUGCGCUCUACGGGUCUUGUACACACCGAUCGCGGUUAGUGGAGACACUUUCCUUCAGUUCGGCUGGAUCGGAGACAGGUGCUGCAUGGCUGUCGUCAGCUCGUGUCGUGAGAUGUUGGGUUAAGUCCCGCAACGAGCGCAACCCUCGCCCUUAGUUGCCCUUAUUCAGUUAGGCACUCUAAGGGGACUGCCGGUGAUAAGCCGAGAGGAAGGUGGGGAUGACGUCAAGUCCUCAUGGCCCUUACGGGCUGGGCUACACACGUGCUACAAUGGUGGUGACAGUGGGCAGCGAGACCGCGAGGUCGAGCUAAUCUCCAAAAGCCAUCUCAGUUCGGAUUGCACUCUGCAACUCGAGUGCAUGAAGUUGGAAUCACUAGUAAUCGCGGAUCAGAAAUCCGUGCGCUCUACGUAAGGUUCUUCUCGUUCCC